rnacentral:rRNA from 1 species
UAAAAGCCUACCAAGGCCGAGAUGGUUAGCGGGCGUGAGAGCGUGGCCCGUCUCACUGGGACUGAGACACUGCCCAGACACAGUACGGGUGGCUGCAGUCGAGAAUCUUUGUCAAUGGACGAAAGUCUGAACAAGCGAUGCCGCGUGCGGGAUGAAGGCCUUCGGGUUGUAAACCGCUGUCAGAGGGGAGCAAAUUUUGAGCGAUCCUCAGAGGAAGCCCGGGCUAAGUUCGUGCCAGCAGCCGCGGUAACACGAACCGGGCAAACGUUAUUCGGAAUUACUGGGCUUAAAGGGUGCGUAGGCGGCGCUAUAAGUCGGGUGUGAAAUCCCACGGCUCAACCGUGGAACUGCGCCCGAUACUGUAGUGCUUGAGGAAGAUAGAGGUGAGCGGAACGAAUGGUGGAGCGGUGAAAUGCGUUGAUAUCAUUCGGAACACCCGUGGCGAAAAGCGGCUCACUGGGUCUUUUCUGACGCUGAGGCACGAAAGCUAGGGAGCGAACGGGAUUAGAUACCCCGGUAGUCCUAGCUGUAAACGAUGAGCACUAGAUCGGGGAG